AUGAACGCCGGCGGCGUGCCUAAUCAAUGCAAGUCGAGCGAACGGACGAGAAGCUUGCUUCUCUGAUGUUAGCGGCGGACGGGUGAGUAACACGUGGAUAACCUACCUAUAAGACUGGGAUAACUUCGGGAAACCGGAGCUAAUACCGGAUAAUAUUUUGAACCGCAUGGUUCAAAAGUGAAAGACGGUCUUGCUGUCACUUAUAGAUGGAUCCGCGCUGCAUUAGCUAGUUGGUAAGGUAACGGCUUACCAAGGCAACGAUGCAUAGCCGACCUGAGAGGGUGAUCGGCCACACUGGAACUGAGACACGGUCCAGACUCCUACGGGAGGCAGCAGUAGGGAAUCUUCCGCAAUGGGCGAAAGCCUGACGGAGCAACGCCGCGUGAGUGAUGAAGGUCUUCGGAUCGUAAAACUCUGUUAUUAGGGAAGAACAUAUGUGUAAGUAACUGUGCACAUCUUGACGGUACCUAAUCAGAAAGCCACGGCUAACUACGUG
rnacentral:rRNA from 1 species